AUUGAACGCUGGCGGUAUGCCUUACACAUGCAAGUCGAACGGUAACAGGUCUUCGGAUGCUGACGAGUGGCGAACGGGUGAGUAAUACAUCGGAACGUGCCCGAUCGUGGGGGAUAACGAAGCGAAAGCUUUGCUAAUACCGCAUAAGAUCUACGGAUGAAAGCAGGGGACCGCAAGGCCUUGCGCGAACGGAGCGGCCGAUGGCAGAUUAGGUAGUUGGUGGGAUAAAAGCUUACCAAGCCGACGAUCUGUAGCUGGUCUGAGAGGACGACCAGCCACACUGGGACUGAGACACGGCCCAGACUCCUACGGGAGGCAGCAGUGGGGAAUUUUGGACAAUGGGCGAAAGCCUGAUCCAGCCAUGCCGCGUGCAGGAUGAAGGCCUUCGGGUUGUAAACUGCUUUUGUACGGAACGAAAAGACUCUGGUUAAUACCUGGGGUCCAUGACGGUACCGUAAGAAUAAGCACCGGCUAACUACGUG
rnacentral:rRNA from 1 species